GACGAACCGAGCGAACGUUGUUCGGAAUCACUGGGCUUAAAGGGCGCGUAGGCGGUCCGACAAGUCAGGGGUGAAAUCCUGCAGCUUAACUGCAGAAGUGCCUUUGAUACUGUCGGUCUGGAGGGAGAUAGGGGUGUGCGGAACUCACAGUGGAGCGGUGAAAUGCGUUGAUAUUGUGAGGAACGCCGGAGGCGAAAGCGGCGCACUGGAUCUCUUCUGACGCUGAGGCGCGAAAGCUAGGGGAGCAAACGGG
rnacentral:rRNA from 1 species